CCUUUUCUCUCAGCCGUUUCACGAGCUUGAAAACGCAUACACAUUGCGUCUUUCAUUCUUCCUAUCCAUUAUGCACAAAUAGUCUCCGCUCUCAGCCAAAGCGUAAGUCGUUGUGCCGGUUCAGACCAAACCCCUCCCUCCUCACCCAGCUCCGAUGAUGAAUCAUCACACAGAAGGUUGCUUCGACAUCGAUUUUUGCAGAUCGAAGCUAUCCGGCUCCUUCAAUUAUCCAUCUCAGUCUCUCAGCCAAAGCGUUUCAUCGUCUUCGCUUGAUGUUGGAGUGGUGCCAGAUGGGAACGCGGUUUCAGACAUGUCGUAUUUGAACAGCUCCGAUUCGAGCGGGAUGGUGGUUUCCGGCGGCGGCGGAAGCCAGCCGGCGACGCAGCUCUGCGGGAUGGAUCGGGAGGCAAGGGUUCUGAGAUACAGGGAGAAGAGGAAGAACCGGAAAUUUGAGAAAACCAUCUUCCAUCCCGUAAGAACGGGUUAUGAUCUCAUGAGUAGUUAUGCAAACAAACGGAGACAAGGGAUUUUUUGGAGGGUUCGAAUCAGACUACGGAAGGUGGUCUACUCCAUUUGGAAGAUGGCUGAUGUUUGGCACCGGACAUUGUUCCUUAAAUGGUGGCUGCUGGCUGGGUGCUCAUACUCGAUUUGGGUUUUCCUGCAAAUUUUCAGAUUUGGUGCGCCUUUGCUGGGAUUAUGGGGAUCCAGUGUGUGCAUUGAUGUGAUUGUUCUUAAUUGAUCUUGAUUGUUAUUCGCUAGCUUUGCAGAAAUCAAAGGAAUGAUUUGGUGCGCCUUUGCUGGGAUUAUGGGGAUCCAGUGUGUGCAUUGAUGUGAUUGUUCUUAAUUGAUCAUGAUUGUUAUUCGCUAGCUUUGCAGAAAUCAAAGGAAUGGUAUUGGAAUUUCUCUCCCUCUCUCUUUAUUAUCCCUGAAAGGGCCAGACUUUUUUGUAUAUUUGGUCUUAAAUUUCUCUUCCUGUAGAAAAAGCAGUUUGCUCCCAAAUACAUAAUUGGUUUCUUGGUUUUCCUUUGCUGUUUUUGUUGAAGCAUGAGGCAAACUGUCUCUGGAAUUUCAGAUUCAUGAAUGUCUAUAUGAUAUGGGUAAUUUGCUGUUUUUGGUUUCCCUUUUACGCUUUAGGUAUGAAUACUCUCUCUGUGUUUGGUACUUUUUCAUCAAUUGCUCUAUAGUCUAUCUCAAAGAAUUUCCAUAAAAAAAUACAUAGCUUUGGAUGUUUGUCCUAAUUUGUUACUAAUGUCCCAAAUACAUAAUUGGUUUCUAAUGUAUACCUAAUUUUAAAAACUGAGUAGACCUUACUUUUGGUCUAAUUGUUUUUUUUUUUGUGCUGUUUAAUCUUAGCAGCACCUUUCUCUGAACCCAAAUCAGAUCCCUCGCUUCAAAACUAACAAAUGGGUUGUCAUGGAAUCUAAGAGCUUGCAACACCAAAUAGAGAUGAUAACUGAAAAUGCUGAGAAAAACUAUAGGUCUGGAGGUGUUUUGACAGAACCUGUGCAAAUUAUAAGAAAGCUUUAAGUAGAAGAGUCAAAGCAGAAUGAUUAGUGUUGGCUGUGAAAUAAUUAAAGGAUUGCUAAUUAGAAAAUAAAACCAAUGUGAUUUUAAUCUUGCUCUGUUGCUGUCCUUCAUUAGGAACCAUGCUAAACUUAAAGAAAGGAUCUCUCUGCUCUCUUAUCUAAUAGUAUCUUCUGAAUUUUUUUUCCAGUCUCUAAUAUUAUUUACCUGCAAUUUCAGAUGAGGCUAGAAGUUAUGAAAUAAAGUGAAUAGGUGACUUGCCCACCAAAGGUAUUCUUACAAUUUGUGCUUAUUGAGUGGAUUUUAUAUUCUUUAUUUAUAAUGCUCACUGUAAUUGAUGCACCUGUUUUAGGAAAGAAACUGAUUUGCAGGUGCUGCCCACUAUAAUGUAUGCAUAUCUUUGAUAAAUUUUUCGUUUCUUGGGUGUAUAUAUAAAGACUGAACUACUUGAUAAUAGUUGCUGCCUAGAAGUAUGGAAAGAACAAUCAAUGAGUCACUUCCAAAUCCAAGUUUUUCUUUCAGUGUCAGUCAUCUCACCAAUGCAUUUAAAGGCUGACAGUGCACCUUUCUAAAUUGCGAAAUUAUUUGUUCAUUCACAGAAAAGAGAAUGCUCCCCCAUAAACUUGACAUCUCCCACUGAUUUCUUAAAUUAUUUGUUCAUUCUCUGAUUUUUUUAAUUUGUUCUCAAAUAUGUCUUCAUGAGUUGUUUAAGCCUUACUUCUACCAUGGGUUGCCUUAUGCGGAAGAUUGAUUCUAAAUCCAGCCAAAGUUCGGCAUCCCUGAUGAGGCGAAUUGGCUGAUAUCUACCAAAAAAAAGUGAAUGUGAAGAAAAGGCAAUAAGACAGAUUAUUAUUGGUCAAUGAAUGAAGAUGCUUGCAGCCUCCAAGCUUCCGCGUGUGCUUUCCUUCAGUGCCAUUAUUAUUGACAUGAAAUUAGGUUUGCCCAUAGGUUGGAAUAGACUGCCACCGUUGUUGACUGUUUUGGUGUGUUCGGUAUUCUGAGAUUGAUUUGUAGGAAGUAGGCUUUGGCCUCCACUUUAAAUGUUUGAAAAGAUUUGAGUUGUCAUUGUGGAUCUACAAUAAAUAUUAAAUAGUUAUAUUUUGUUUCUGACUGUGAAGGGCAGUUUAUUAUAUCUUUCUUUCAAUUUUUUAAAUUUUGGAGUUCGUUUGUAACUCUCAAGCUUAUUUCUUCAGUUAAGAGCAUUCUUGAAAUAAGAUUAAAAAUAUUAAAGCUGUGCAAUUGAAAGCUGCAAAUUUGGGAUAAUUUCAAAACUCAAAACCCAGUUAAGUUACAAACACAUGCUGUAUGCAAAUUUUGCACUCAGUUUUCUAUAAUGUCAUGUUCAACAUCCAAGGCCAGCAUUGGUACUUGAUUAAUCAUCCACAGCCAAAUUUUUCCAUGCCAUUUACUUCAAAAUAGUCCUGAAAGCCUGCAGUCUUUUUUGUGCACCAUAUUUGACAGUUUAAUCAUCCACAGCCGCAAGGUGACAAUUUGAGUUGCUAUUACAGAAACAUGCACAACACAUUGAAAGAAUGAAAGAAAAGUGGUUUCGGAGGUCUCUAUUUCUUCUUCCAGGCGCUCUUCAGCUGCUCCUAACUUCUCCAACUCAUUCACUACAAGGUACUGACUUCCACUAACUUAUGUAUUAUCACUUGCAUUAUGUAAACUUUGAAUAAACCGUACUACCAUUGAGAUACAUGAUUGUUUUCUAUUUUAUUUUUAUCCCAAUAUAUUUUUAAUAGAUUUGUUUUCCUUAACUUUCUAGGUCUGCCAGUGUAUCUUUCUAAAUUCCUUCCACUAAAUUGUGGAAUUAUGAAGCUCAUAUUGUGUUUCUUUGUUUUGUUUUGACUAGCAGUUGUGUAACACCAUUAUAUUAUUAGAAAAAUUGAAACUGAUUGAGGUUGUGCACAAGCAAUAAUAUGGAGAUUAAUUGAUUAAAUUAAAACGCAAGGGGUUAGCAAAAUGAUGAAAUCUCAAAGGAAAUUCAGUGAAGCUUACAAUUGAAUAUUAAAGGUACAUAAGUUAAUAAUUCAAAUAUUUAUUACUAUCCACUAUUAAAUCUAUUAAAAAGAUUGAAGCUGAAGGGGUUGUGCACAAGUAAUAAUGUGGAAAUGAUUUGAUUAAAUUAAAACACAAGGGGUUAGCAAAGUGAUGGAAUCCCAAGGGAAUUUUAGUGGAACUUACAAUUGAAUAUUAAAGGUACACAAAUUAAUAUAUUUAUUAGUAUAUUAAAAAUUAAUUUAAUUCUUGCCUUUUGGUUCCUUUCUUUGAUGUGAGGCCCACACUCUUGAGCUCUAUAUAUAGUUACAGUAGUAUGUGCAUAGGCAACAAAACCAGACCUAAUAUUCUGUCAUGGCUAAGUUCAAGAAUCCAUAUUCUGUCAUGUGCAACAUUGUUCCUCCCUUUGCAUUUGCAGUUUUGCACCAGAUGAAUAGGGUAAUGGUCAAUUGCUCUUCUUUGUUGAUUUACACUCUCUUAUAUGUUUUCAUCUUAAUUGUUUCAUUUUGGCUCUACUUUACUUGGUCCAAAACUAUGGUAAGAUUGGUCAAGAUGUGGUGGAAUACCUACAGCUCCCAGAUGAUGGAGAAUUUCUCCUUACUGACCCAUUGGGUGUGACCAAGGAAGUAUCCUUUACUGUGGUGGGCAAAAGUCUUACCUAAUUAUAGGAUGGUGUGAGCUUCGAGAAUUUUAUCAUUUUUAUGGGAACUGUUGGUUCCUUUUUAAACAUGUGGACAACUUGAACUUUCGUUUUUCAAUAUUUGAUCCAACAUUUGCUGAGGUGAAAUAUCAUGGUUGGCCUGUGACUGUGAAGCAAGAGAAUGUUGAUAUUAUGAGUCAGAUGUUCCCUGCACCUAAGCAACCAGAAAUACCAAUGAUCUACAAAAAUUCAAGUGGUUCUGCUGUUGUGUUUUGGUUUAAAAAUAAAAAUCCUUCAUGUGUGGUAACUCUUUCAAAAACCCAAGCUGUUGGGAGUUAUGUGGCCUUACCAUCUAAAAUUGCUGUGUUUAUUCGUCAAUUUGGAGUUUCUCCGUUGAAGCUUCGAGGGCAUGUGGGUGAUGAUAUUACUUGCAAGUUGCUGAGCAAAAACAAGAAGGAUGUGAGGAUUGGAUCAGGCUGGAAGAAAUUUUGUACACGUAAUGGGGUUCGUGCAGGAGAUCUGUGUUGCUUUAAGUUUACAAAUAUCGCAGAGAGGAUUGUUGAAGUGUCUAUUGUUUUAGGGUAAUUUUAUGGGAGUGUAAUCGGAUGGCUUGCUGCUAUGUGGAAGUUUAAUUUUGUUUCUCAAUAAUAGUUAUGUCAAUUCCAAUUGGCAGAUUCGUAUAAGUUUGUUCUGAAACUUUUUCACAGAUUGUUAUUAUGUAUUUGGUUUGUUGAUCCAAUGUUCAAUGUUAGUUGUCUUGAAUC